rnacentral:rRNA from 1 species
CGGGACGGGUGAGUAAUGCUUGGGAAUCUAGCUUAUGGAGGGGGAUAACUACGGGAAACUGUAGCUAAUACCGCGUAAUAUCGAAAGAUUAAAGUGUGGGACUUUCGGGCCACAUGCCAUAGGAUGAGCCCAAGUGGGAUUAGGUAGUUGGUGAGGUAAAGGCUCACCAAGCCGACGAUCUCUAGCUGGUCUGAGAGGAUGACCAGCCACACUGGGACUGAGACACGGCCCAG